rnacentral:rRNA from 1 species
AGAGUUUGAUCCUGGCUCAGGAUGAACGCUGGCGGCGUGCUUAACACAUGCAAGUCGAACGAUUAACCCGCCCUCGGGCGGUUAUAGAGUGGCGAACGGGUGAGUAACACGUGACCAACCUGCCCCUUGCUCCGGGACAACCCAGGGAAACCUCGGCUAAUACCGGAUACUCCGCGCAGCCCGCAUGGGGGGCGCGGGAAAGCCCAGACGGCAAGGGAUGGGGUCGCGGCCCAUUAGGUAGACGGCGGGGUAACGGCCCACCGUGCCCGCGAUGGGUAGCCGGGUUGAGAGACCGAUCGGCCACAUUGGGACUGAGAUACGGCCCAGACUCCUACGGGAGGCAGCAGUGGGGAAUUUUGCGCAAUGGGGGAAACCCUGACGCAGCAACGCCGCGUGCGGGACGAAGGCCUUCGGGUUGUAAACCGCUUUCAGCAGGGAAUAUAGUGAAGGUACCUGCAGAAGAAGCUCCGGCUAACUACGUGCCAGCAGCCGCGGUAAUACGUAGGGGGCGAGCGUUAUCCGGAUUCAUUGGGCGUAAAGCGCGCGUAGGCGGCCCGUCAAGCGGGGUUUCAAAUCCAGGGGCUCAACCUCUGGCCGGACCCCGAACUGGCGGGCUCGAGUGCGGUAGAGGAAGGUGGAAUUCCCAGUGUAGCGGUGAAAUGCGCAGAUAUUGGGAAGAACACCGAUGGCGAAGGCAGCCUUCUGGGCCGCCACUGACGCUGAGGCGCGAAAGCUAGGGGAGCGAACAGGAUUAGAUACCCUGGUAGUCCUAGCCGUAAACGAUGGGCACUAGGUGUGGGGGAGCAUCUCCUCCGUGCCGCAGCCAACGCAUUAAGUGCCCCGCCUGGGGAGUACGGCCGCAAGGCUAAAACUCAAAGGAAUUGACGGGGGCCCGCACAAGCAGCGGAGCAUGUGGCUUAAUUCGAAGCAACGCGAAGAACCUUACCAGGGCUUGACAUGCAGGUGAAGCGGCGGAAACGCCGUGGCCGAGAGGAGCCUGC